rnacentral:rRNA from 1 species
AUUGAACGCUGGCGGAAUGCUUUACACAUGCAAGUCGAACGGCAGCACGGACUUCGGUCUGGUGGCGAGUGGCGGACGGGUGAGUAAUGUAUCGGAACGUGCCCAGUCGUGGGGGAUAACGUAGUGAAAAUUACGCUAAUACCGCAUACGAUCUAUGGAUGAAAGCGGGGGAUCGCAAGACCUUGCGCGAUUGGAGCGGCGGAUAUCAGAUUAGGUAGUUGGUGGGGUAAAGGCCCACCAAGCCAACGAUCUGUAGCUGGUCUGAGAGGACGACCAGCCACACUGGAACUGAGACACGGUCCAGACUCCUACGGGAGGCAGCAGUGGGGAAUUUUGGACAAUGGGCGAAAGCCUGAUCCAGCCAUUCCGCGUGCAGGAUGAAGGCCCUCGGGUUGUAAACUGCUUUUGUACAGAACGAAAAGGUUUCUACUAAUACUAGGAGCUCAUGACGGUACUGUAAGAAUAAGCACCGGCUAACUACGUGCCAGCCGCCGCAGUAA